UAUGGUAAUUGUGUGCCAGCCUCCGCUUUACUACGGAGGAUGCGUGCGUUAUCCGGAUUUAUUGGGUUUAAAGGGUGCGUAGGCGGCACGCCAAGUCAGCGGUGAAAUUUCCGGGCUCAACCCGGAGUGUGCCGUUGAAACUGGCGAGCUAGAGUGCACAAGAGGCAGGCGGAAUGCGUGGUGUAGCGGUGAAAUGCAUAGAUAUCACGCAGAACCCCGAUUGCGAAGGCAGCCUGCUAGGGUGAAACAGACGCUGAGGCACGAAAGCGUGGGUAUCGAACAGG
rnacentral:rRNA from 1 species